rnacentral:rRNA from 1 species
CCUACGGGAGGCAGCAGUGGGGACUAUUGCACAAUGGGGGAAACCCUGAUGCAGCGACGCCGCGUGAGUGAAGAAGUAUUUCGGUAUGUAAAGCUCUAUCAGCAGGGAAGAUAAUGACGGUACCUGACUAAGAAGCCCCGGCUAACUACGUGCCAGCAGCCGCGGUAAUACGGAGGGUGCGAGCGUUAAUCGGAAUUACUGGGGGUAAAGCGCUCGUAGGCGGCAUGUCAAGUCAAGUGUGAAAUCGCCGCGCUCAACGUGGGAACUGCCUUGGAAACUGGCAAACUGGAGUGUGCGAGAGGAAGGUGGAAUUCGAGGUGUAGGAGUGAAAUGCGUAGAUAUGUGGAGGAACAUCAGUUGCGAAGGCGGCUAGCUGGCACAGAACUGACGCUGAGGAGCGAAAGCGUGGGUAGCAAACAGGAUUAGAUACCCCGGUAGUC